rnacentral:tRNA from 1 species
AAAAUCCGUCGACUUUAAAAAUCGUGAGGGUUCAAGUCCCUCUAUCCCCAAAAGCCUAGUGGACUCCCCAACUAUUUAUCCCAUCUUG